UUUAAGUGGCGAGUUUGAUCCUGGCUCAGAAUGAACGCUGGCGGCGUGCCUAACACAUGCAAGUCGUACGAGAAAUCCCGAGCUUGCUUGGGAGAGUAAAGUGGCGCACGGGUGAGUAACGCGUGGGUAACCCACCUUCGAAUCUGGGAUAACUCCGCGAAAGCGGUGCUAAUACCGGAUAAGACCACAGCCGUUUCGGCGGCAGAGGUAAAAGCUGACCUCUCCAUGGAAGUUAGCGUUCGAGGACGGGCCCGCGUCCUAUCAGCUUGUUGGUGGGGUAAAGGCCUACCAAGGCAGCGACGGGUAGCUGGUCUGAGAGGAUGAUCAGCCACACUGGAACUGGAACACGGUCCAGACUCCUACGGGAGGCAGCAGUGAGGAAUUUUGCGCAAUGGGGGAAACC
rnacentral:rRNA from 1 species